rnacentral:rRNA from 1 species
GGGUGAGUAACGCGUGGGUAACCUGCCUCAUACACAUGGUUAACAUACCGAAAGGUAUGCUAAUACAGGAUAACAUGUUUUUAUCGCAUGAUAAAAAUAUCAAAGCUCCGGCGGUAUGAGAUGGACCCGCGUCUGAUUAGCUAGUUGGUAAGGUAAUGGCUUACCAAGGCGACGAUAAGUAGCCGACCUGAGAGGGUGAUCGGCCACAUUGGAACUGAGACACGGUCCAAACUCCUACGGGAGGCAGCAGUGGGGAAUAUUGCACAAUGGGCGAAAGCCUGAUGCAGCAACGCCGCGUGAGCGAUGAAGGCCUUCGGGUCGUAAAGCUCUGUCCUCAAGGAAGAUAAUGACGGUACUUGAGGAGGAAGCCCCGGCUAACUACGUGCCAGCAGCCGCGGUAAUACGUAGGGGGCUAGCGUUAUCCGGAUUUACUGGGCGUAAAGGGUGCGUAGGCGGUCUUUCAAGUCAGGAGUGAAAGGCUACGGCUCAACCGUAGUAAGCUCUUGAAACUGGGAGACUUGAGUGCAGGAGAGGAGAGUGGAAUUCCUAGUGUAGCGGUGAAAUGCGUAGAUAUUAGGAGGAACACCAGUAGCGAAGGCGGCUCUCUGGACUGUAACUGACGCUGAGGCACGAAAGCGUGGGGAGCGAACAGGAUUAGAUACCCUGGUAGUCCACGCCGUAAACGAUGAGUACUAGG